UACGGGGGGGGCAAGCGUUGUUCGGAAUUACUGGGCGUGAAGGGCUCGUAGGCGGCCAACUAAGUCCGACGUGAAAUCCCAAGGCUUAACCUUGGAACUGCGUCGGAUACUGGAUGGCUUGAAUUCGGGAGAGGGAUGCAGAAUUCCAGGUGUAGCGGUGAAAUGCGUAGAUAUCUGGAGGAAUACCGGUGGCGAAGGCGGCAUCCUGGACCGACAUUGACGCUGAAAGCCGAAAGCUAGGGGAGCAAACGGG
rnacentral:rRNA from 1 species